rnacentral:rRNA from 1 species
CACACCGCCCGUCACACCACGAAAGCCGAUUGUGCUUGAAGUCGCUGGGCUAACCCGCAAGGGAGGCAGGCGCCGAAGGUAUGGUCGGUGAUUGGGGUG